CGCAUCUGUGCAUGCAGCAUAUCAAUAAGCGGAGGAAAAGAAACUAACAAGGAUUCCCCCUAGUAACGGCGAGUGAAGCGGGAAGAGCUCAAAUUUGAAAUCUUAAAGGGUUUCCCUUUACGAAUUGUAGUUUAAAGAAGUGUUUUCUAGUUGAGGUUUUGGUAAAAGUUCUUUGGAAUAGGACAUCAUAGAGGGUGAGAAUCCCGUAUUUGACCUUUACUUUCAACUUUGUGAUACAGCUUUCAAAGAGUCGGAUUGUUUGGGAAUGCAGUCCAAAAUGGGUGGUAAAUUUCAUCUAAAGCUAAAUAUUGGCGAGAGACCGAUAGCGAACAAGUACCGUGAGGGAAAGAUGAAAAGAACUUUGAAAAGAGAGUUAAACAGUACGUGAAAUUGUCAAAAGGGAAGCGUUUGACACCAGUGUGGUUUUUCUGAAAAUCAAUUAAAGAACUGUUUAUGCUAAGUUGUUUAGACUUUAUCAGCCUAUCUGCUUAGUUUUGAGCUUUUCUUUAAUGCACUUUUCAGUUAACAAGUCAACAUCAAUUUCUUUUGCUGUAAAAAAGCUUGAGGAAGGUGGCUUGAGAUUCGUCUUAAGUGUUUAUAGCCUCUUGCCUAUGCAGUCGGAGAGAUUGAGGUCUGCAGCGUAGAUCCUUCGGGGCUAAAUGCAUUUGUGCUAAGUUAUAGCAUUUUAUAGACAACUUGUUGACUAUGAUUUGUCUUGUAGGCUUACUCGCUUAUGUUAUUUUACCUACCGCUUAGGAUGUUGAAUCUGUGCGAGACUAC
rnacentral:rRNA from 1 species